AAUAGCCACACUUUUGGAUAUGCACAAAGAACCCAGACUGCAGCUUGAAAACUGAAUGUGACAAGAACUGAGAUCUAUUCAAGUAUGUUUAACCUGCUCUCCAACUGCUUUGCCUGGAUGGAUAAAGUACAUGAACCAGUCAGGAAAGUGACAAUUCUCCUGUCUGGCUUGGACAAUGCAGGAAAAACAUCACUGGUGAAAGGAAUGCAAAAA